rnacentral:rRNA from 1 species
UACAGAGGUCUCAAGCGUUGUUCGGAUUUACUGGGCGUAAAGGGCGCGUAGGCGGUGCGGUAAGUCACUUGUGAAAUCUCUGAGCUUAACUCAGAACGGCCAAGUGAUACUGCAGUACUAGAGUGCGGAAGGGGCAAUCGGAAUUCUUGGUGUAGCGGUGAAAUGCGUAGAUAUCAAGAGGAACACCUGAGGUGAAGACGGGUUGCUGGGCCGACACUGACGCUGAUGCGCGAAAGCCAGGGGAGCAAACGGG